rnacentral:rRNA from 1 species
GACGAACGCUGGCGGCGUGCUUAACACAUGCAAGUCGAACGGAAAGGCCCUGCUUUUGUGGGGUGCUCGAGUGGCGAACGGGUGAGUAACACGUGAGUAACCUGCCCUUGACUUUGGGAUAACUUCAGGAAACUGGGGCUAAUACCGGAUAGGAGCUCCUUCUGCAUGGUGGGGGUUGGAAAGUUUCGGCGGUUGGGGAUGGACUCGCGGCUUAUCAGCUUGUUGGUGGGGUAGUGGCUUACCAAGGCUUUGACGGGUAGCCGGCCUGAGAGGGUGUCCGGCCACAUUGGGACUGAGAUACGGCCCAGACUCCUACGGGAGGCAGCAGUGGGGAAUAUUGCACAAUGGGCGGAAGCCUGAUGCAGCAACGCCGCGUGCGGGAUGACGGCCUUCGGGUUGUAAACCGCUUUCGCCUGUGACGAAGCGUGAGUGACGGUAAUGGGUAAAGAAGCACCGGCUAACUACGUG